rnacentral:rRNA from 1 species
AACGAACGCUGGCGGCAUGCCUAACACAUGCAAGUCGAACGAGACCUUCGGGUCUAGUUGCGCACGGGUGCGUAACGCGUGGGAACCUGCCCUUAGGUUCGGAAUCACUCCCCGAAAGGGGUGCUAAUACCGGUUAAUGUCUUCGGUCCAAAGAUUUAUCGCCUUUGGAUGGGCCCGCGUUGGAUUUGCUAGUUGGUAGGGUAAAAGCCUACCAAGGCGACGAUCCAUAGCUGGUCUGAGAGGAUGAUCAGCCACACUGGGACUGAGACACGGCCCAGACUCCUACGGGAGGCAGGAGUGGGGAAUAUUGGACAAGGGGCGAAAGCCUGAUCCAGAAAUGCCGGGUGAGUGAUGAAGGCCUUAGGGUUGUAAAGCUCUUUUACCCGGGAUGAUAAUGACAGAACCGGGAGAAUAAGCUCCGGCUAACUCCGU